rnacentral:rRNA from 1 species
GACGAACCGUGCGAACGUUAUUCGGAAUCACUGGGCUUAAAGCGCGUGCAGGCGGGUCGGCGCGUCGGUCGCUGAAAGCCCCCGGCUCAACCGGGGAAGGGGCGCCGAGACGGCCGGCCUGGAGGGGGGUAGGGGGAGCCGGAACUUCCGGUGGAGCGGUGAAAUGCGUUGAGAUCGGAAGGAACGCCCGUGGCGAAAGCGGGCUCCUGGGCCCCACCUGACGCUGAGACGCGAAAGCUAGGGGAGCGAACGGG